rnacentral:rRNA from 1 species
GACGAACGCUGGCGGCGUGCUUAACACAUGCAAGUCGAACGGAAAGGCCCUGCUUUUGUGGGGUGCUCGAGUGGCGAACGGGUGAGUAACACGUGAGUAACCUGCCCUUGACUUUGGGAUAACUUCAGGAAACUGGGGCUAAUACCGGAUAGGAGCUCCUGCUGCAUGGUGGGGGUUGGAAAGUUUCGGCGGUUGGGGAUGGACUCGCGGCUUAUCAGCUUGUUGGUGGGGUAGUGGCUUACCAAGGCUUUGACGGGUAGCCGGCCUGAGAGGGUGACCGGCCACAUUGGGACUGAGAUACGGCCCAGACUCCUACGGGAGGCAGCAGUGGGGAAUAUUGCACAAUGGGCGGAAGCCUGAUGCAGAAACGCCGCGUGCGGGAUGACGGCCUUCGGGUUGUAAACCGCUUUCGCCUGUGACGAAGCGUGAGUGACGGUAAUGGGGAAAGAAGCACCGGCUAACUACGU